rnacentral:lncRNA from 1 species
UUGUAUCUACUUGUGACAUUCACAGUAAUAACUAUAUCAAUUCAAGUACUUUAUGGCAUACGACUAUGCCCAAGAGAGUAGCAGACCCCUCUCUGAGAUUUCUAUGCUGAACCCUUUCAGCAUCAACUCUCUGUACUUUAUCUAUGAAAACACAAGUAUCCAAUUGCAUCUAUCUCUAUAGAUCUUUAGGAUGCUCUCUUUAUAUCUUUUAUGAAGAAAUCUAUAUUUAAUCAUAUUUUAACCAACGUUAGUUGACACUCCCAC